ensembl:rRNA 5S_rRNA 5S ribosomal RNA
GUCUACAGCCAUACUACCCUGAACAUGCCCGAUCUCGUCUGUUCUCAGAAGCAAAGCAGGGUUGGUCCUGGUUAGUACUUGGAUGAGAGAUUGAAUGCCUUCGUGCUUUCAUCA